rnacentral:rRNA from 1 species
UACAGAGGUGGCAAGCGUUUGUUCGGAAUUACUGGGCGUAAAGGGCGCGUAGGCGGCCUUCUAAGUCAGACGUGAAAUCCCCCCGGCUUAACCUGGGAACUGCGUCUGAUACUGGGAGGCUUGAGUAUGGGAGAGGGAUGUAGAAUUCCAGGUGUAGCGGUGAAAUGCGUAGAUAUCUGGAGGAAUACCGGUGGCGAAGGCGGCAUCCUGGACCAUUACUGACGCUGAGGCGCGAAAGCUAGGGGAGCAAACGGG